rnacentral:rRNA from 1 species
UACGUAGGGUGCAAGCGUUAAUCGGAAUUACUGGGCGUAAAGCGUGCGCAGGCGGUUGUGCAAGACAGAUGUGAAAUCCCCGGGCUUAACCUGGGAACUGCAUUUGUGACUGCACAGCUGGAGUGCGGCAGAGGGGGAUGGAAUUCCGCGUGUAGCAGUGAAAUGCGUAGAGAUCCGGAGGAACACCGAAGGCGAAGGCAGUGUCCUGGCGAGUGACUGACGCUGAGGUGCGAAAGCCAGGGGAGCGAACGGG